rnacentral:miRNA from 1 species
CUGUUACCAGGAGAUAGUUAUUGCCACUUCACGUUCUCAAAAGAAUAUAUUUCUGUAUAGUUAAGUGUUGAUAUAUUCUUUUGAGAACGUGAAGUGGCAAUAACUAUCUCCUGGUAACAG